rnacentral:rRNA from 1 species
ACCGUUUAGUAGGUUAGAGGGGAAGAGUCGGCCAGCCCGUGCACUGGCUCGGUUGGCGUGGGUGAAGUUUGGGAUCGUUCGGAAAGAGGAGAGGGGCUUCGAAGGUCUUCGCCGCGCGUACCUCAGGAGGCGGAGGCCGCUGCCGAGGAGACGGUGCUGCCGACGACAACGACGCCGUCGUCGCCACCGCAGCAGGAGUAGCCCGGGGAGGUGGAGACGGAGGCGGAAGAGGCGGCCACAGAGCCCACCCCGUUCGCGGUGGGUGAUGGAGCGGUUUGCGCACGAGGUACCGUCGCGGCACGUCGUGCAGCGGGCCCCGGUGAAGGCGAGCCUCGUGGAAACCCUCUAGCAGGAGACGUUCCCUUGAAGUGAACUUAAUCAACACCAACCACUCCUACCACAAAAUGUCAGUUAGACGCUCGUUUCAUGUAAACCCUAACAUUUUCUACAACCACAGAACCUAACCGCGAAAUUUGUGAAGCCAUAGACCGGACUCUAACUUCCCUUUCUUUAAGACCAAGAUGAGAGACUAAGACCUUUCGAAAGAGAAGAAAUGAAGACAACAGUCUACGUAUCCAAAUAAGGUUAACCUUUAUAGCUCAAUAGAUUUGGUCCUUUAUACUCCCUAGUUGACCCUUCUUAAAACCGAUAUCUGGUGCUGAGACGAACCCAACGAUAAUCACGCAUACUCCUACGUAAACGACAACACGCACAACCUUCCUGAGUCGUACAAAUACCAGGUUUAUUUCUAAACUUCUAGAAGGUACAGUAUUAAACUCUUUAUAAAAAUAGGUGGUCUUUAACAUCUCUUCCGUUUUUAGCACGUACGACAUAUAUUCUGGUCACUAUAGGCGCCAUGCCAAACCUCGUACACGAAGUACUCCUGAGCGACGAGCUACCUACUUAUAAUGGGUCAACACCGUUACUAUUAAUUGUCCUUCCCGAGACUACGCUUACUGAACAGUUACAUACGUGAUCGACGGUUGCUACCACCAUAGGUCAUGGAUAGACCAAUGAGUCUUGGGCCUGGAAACCGCGAACUCUAGCGACUUUAAGGAGUCGACCUACCGAAACCUGAAGAUAAAGCACGACCACUAUAAGAUUAACACCUAGAAUCCCUGGGUUUCCUGUAGACGACAUGGUAAUCUUAUUCGUACUGUCCGUCAGACCAACCUCUUGUUUAGUCACAACUUCUAAGUACAGCUCCUAAUCUACAACUACUGCUACAACGACGAACACGAAACGAUCUUGACUCUCUAAGACCUUUAUUGUAUUACUACCUGCUGUCAAUGUACCGAUAACUACCACGACUAUUGGGUCCUUCGUACUUUAGUUCCCAAUAAACGAGUACCUCGACCCUCGGCCUACGGUACGCUCCUGUUGGCUCCGACUAGAAAACGAACCUACUACCUCUUAAAGUAUAAGACCUUAAAUUAACCCUAUGUCUUCCUAACUUCCAUAACGGACUCGCACAGGUAUCCCCAAACGGAACAUUUGGAGAAAAUACCUACCUGUCUCCUUACUAUCGUCCCAAACAUCUCUACCCUCUACCUUACUAGGAAGUAGAACUUGUACCAUCUGACCACGUAUCUUCAUGUCAAGUCUUACAUCCUGGUUAUAACCUAAAUCGUUAACGACUGAUGGUACCACUCUUCGUCCUAGUCAACAAAAGUACAACACCUUACACGGGACUCCCUAGUAACGCACAAUAUUCCUUACCACAGUUACACCUCUUUGAAGACUCCUGACUUGGAUAAAUAGUCCCACAAUGACCAAACACCUGUAACUCUUACUUCUUUUGACUAUGUAUAGUGAGAAAAGAACAUAACCGUAAACAACUCCUUUGUUCUUAUGAUAGUCAACCUGACUCAAAAUUACUGUAGUCACUACGACACCCUAAAGUCUGACUCCAAACGUGAAACCGUACACCAAAUUAUCGACUACCAAAUGAACACGUUUAAGUGUCGUUUCCGCAUUUCGAAACAAACGGAUGUAGUAUACGAGUGGGACUCCCACGGUGGAAUUGAAGAGGUCAAACACAACUGACCAUAGGACUACAGUGAUAGUCACAACCACGACAACCUGUACUACAACAACGACAACGAUGUAGUUUAGGAACAACGGAUAUAUAAGAGUCCCAGUCUGGUAAUAGAAGUGAGGUCAUGCUCAACAUACUCUGUGUCGUACAGGUUAACGUUAUACUUCAUAGAACGUAUAGGUAAGGCCUCCUCCUGAACUCUGAAUCUUGCAGUAGAAGACGAAAACCACCACUAAAAUCCUUCUCUUUUCCCUUAUUAAGACGACGACUUCAACUACAAGCGUACAAACGACAGUAACCUUGAGUAUUUGGAAGACACCUUCAGUAGAGUAACCUUGGACUACUUCGUAAAUCCGACGAGAGAUAACCCAGAUAUAGUCACUUGUUACGCGAGCCACGAGGUCAAUCACCGACAUAUGGGCUUUUACAAGCAAAACAUCGUAGACUCUCCAAGAUGUAAGAGCGUCCAGAUUCUUUACCGUACGAUGAGUCCAAACUCAGUCCUUGUUCGUUUCUGGUCAUAGAGGGACCAAGGAAAAUGUUCCUCAGAAAACGUGGAAGAGAAUUACGAGAGGAAGUCAACCAACGAUAUUCCGUGUAACCUUAAUGGGGACAUCCGAACCAUGGUAACGUACUAAGUCGAUUAAGACUAUAAUAACAAGAGUCGCUAUCCAGAACCGAUAAUAUACGAUCAUCUGUGUCGAACCGUAUAAGUAGGUAGAGUAAAGACGGACGCAGGGUACACUGAGGUCAUAGAAGACACCUAACGGGGUCGCCGGACGAUAAACAACGUCUCUUGACAAAUGUAAACCAACUUUACCAAGUACCGUUUUCUAAUUUACGUGUUUUCAAAAGUCAACCUCCCUGAGGUUCCUUUCACGAUAUGGUGUCGCUAUCAUCUUGUGACAACCAAUACUCUUGACCAAAUUGACCACGUAGUACAAGAAGUCUAUAACAGGUUUAUCUAGGAUUAUUACCCUAGAACGAAAGGGCUAAGUUCACACUUGAACCACUUUGACGUUUUACGUAGGUCUAACGCUUUUAUCCUUCACUCGUUCACAAUUAACAACCCUGUUCAUUUAGAUGACUGGCCGGUUACUACGGUUUACCGCUUCGUCUUUCAUAGUUUCCUGCGGAUUAACAAGAUUCAAACCUAUGAGAACCUUCAGGAGUACUCACGUCAAGUAAAUAAGGCUGAAGAUUAAACUCAAGGAGAAGAGUAUGCCCGAGUAAGGGACUUUAACAACCUAUACGUUUACUUCUAAAGAGAUCGUUGUCGUACACGUCGUCAGGACUACUAUAAACGAUGUUAGUCUAAGUUAAACUUGUUUAUCGUCCUGUGGACUCUAGUGACUGAGUACAAUGGAAGUGACCACGUCAAGAACGACAUAUAGGUAUAGAUCUAGCUAUACACAACCGUCGUCGACCAUUAUGCCAUACUAUAGUCAAUAAAGAAACCGAGAUGAAAAACUAUUUAGUGAACCUUUAACCGAGUUGCUGUCUCGUUACUCGUUCUGAUCUUUUCAUUGUAACGUUUCCUCGAGCCAAAACACUGUCGGUAUUGUGAGCAAGACGUUUCCUCGAGCCAAAACACUGUCGGUAUUGUGAGCAAGACGUUUCCUCGAGUCGGAAUCCCGUCACAGUAAAAAUUAAAAAGACAUCCCUAUAAGGUACCCUCUCAAUUAUAAGGGGUUGUUUUGUCAAAAACACUAUUGUCGACCGUUAGUUUGAGGAUAGACAACAAUAAAGUAUAUGAUGAUUCGAUUUAAAGAGUUUGAACCAAAAUUAGACUGAUGGUAGUUAACACCUCUUAGUAAGACUGUGAGAAGGGUAAAAGAGAGAUAAAACUAUCGAAAGACAUAAACCAAAACACUUACUUUUAGGAGUAGCAUACUUCUUCAUACGACACUCAUCUUGUGCUAAAUGAUAAUGAACAAACUUCUGUAUACGUAGUGUCUAACGUCGCCCGCUAACAGCACUACCACAAGAGAAGAUAAGAAUAGUGCUCUUAGAAUCCUUCAACCUUGAACAAAUACGACUAGGACGAGUUGCUAACCACCCACUACAACAGGACAAUCUGACACUUUGACGACAACACAGUCUAGCAGCACCAUCGUAUAGACAUAAUAGGACGGGACCUGACCUUCAAAGACUUUCAGGUCUUUUCUUGAAUCGACAUGUUACAAGUAAAAAAUACCCGCUUUAUCGAUACUCGUAGGUCUUCCGACGUAAAUUCAUAGCCGAGGGAUAACCACUACUCUGUCUGGGUCACAACCUUAGUCGAAUGUUGACGCAACACCGCUCAUGAAACGACCCCUCACAGAAACAAUACUAAGGAGAGUGGUCACUCCUCGUAGUUGACAACGUUCUACAGGUUCUUUCUGAAAGUGAAGUGGGCAACUGACGAGGUUAGAACCCUUUACUGGUACGUCUCAAAGCAGCUGCACCAUAGGGCAGCCCUCACGGAAGUUAAGACCUACCACUGUACGACCACGUUAAGAAUCUCGAGUGGUCACUCGUUGUCGUUUGACAAGAACUACUACCCAGAAGUCAUUUCCGUGGUGUGUCCAGAUAGGGGCAAAAGGUCCAGUACGCUUACAACCUCGCCCAGGUGAUACGCGACUUGACUCCAAAAGACGUUGGUUGAACCAAGUGAGUAUGGUGACCUGUAUGGCAAAAGGUAAGACGACUGUUUAGCUGUUCACGCAACCAUGACGUCUAUUAUGGGACGGCACUGGACGUCUUUUAUGGCGGCCUGGUUCCAUCAUGUGUAAACCACGACUCCACUACAAUCGCACAUUGUCAGUUAUGGGACGGCACUGGACGCAGAGGGAUAAAUAUUAUGACGUAUCUGCAACAUUUCAUGGCUUCAGAAACAUGUAUUUUAAACUGUUGUCUUGUAGGAGUCUUAACUGCUUGCAACUCUGUAGGACUUAUCUUCACAAGAAUUCGUUGGCCUUCUCGAGACGGAAGAGUAAAACAACUUUCUUAGCCGG